rnacentral:rRNA from 1 species
GACGAACGCUGGCGGCGUGCUUAACACAUGCAAGUCGAACGGAAAGGCCCUGCUUUUGUGGGGUGCUCGAGUGGCGAACGGGUGAGUAACACGUGAGUAACCUGCCCUUGACUUUGGGAUAACUUCAGGAAACUGGGGCUAAUACCGGAUAGGAGCUCCUGCUGCAUGGUGUGGGUUGGAAAGUUUCGGCGGUUGGGGAUGGACUCGCGGCUUAUCAGCUUGUUGGUGGGGUAGUGGCUUACCAAGGCUUUGACGGGUAGCCGGCCUGAGAGGGUGACCGGCCACAUGGGGACUGAGAUACGGCCCAGACUACUACGGGAGGAAGCAGUGGGGAAUAUUGCACAAUGGGCGGAAGCCUGAUGCAGCAACGCCGCGUGCGGGAUGACGGCCUUCGGGUUGUAAACCGCUUUCGCGUGUGACGAAGCGUGAGUGACGGUAAUGGGGAAAGAAGCACCGGCUAACUACGU